UAUAAUUCUGAAACCAAAACACCUUUGCCGAUGCCAUCAACUUUGAAAAUCUCUCUACCCUUCUCCUUCCCCCAAAACCCAAAUCUCUACCCUUUUCCUUCCCUUAAAACCCAACUCUGAAAAACUUUUAGCAUGUGACCACUCCUAUUUAUUCUUAGAAACCAUCUCCUUCCCCCCAAAUUCUCACCCAAAACUCCUAUAGCAUGCAACCCCUCCUCUCUCUUCUUAGAAACCAUUUGGUCUAAACUUGCUCAAGUAGUAGAUAUAGUACUAGUCUGAUUUGUGUGAGCCCCGAAGCAAGAUUUGGAAGAGGAGGAUCAAGUUUAUUUGGGCGACUCGGACUGAGACUCAGUGACCACAUGACACUUCUUAAAGCUUUUGAAGGAUAGAAGGAUGCAAACUGUAAUGAAAAGAGUCCUGUCACCUUGCAAAUGAUAGAGGAUAUGAGAAUGCAAUUUGUAGAUCUAUUUAACAUUGGCUUUGUAAACAAAUUGAUGAGUGCUAAUGUAAGUUGGCUUUGUAAACAAAUUGAUGAGUGCUAAUAUAAGUUCUUUAAGAUUUUCAAAUUUUAAAG